rnacentral:rRNA from 1 species
UACGAAGGGGGCUAGCGUUGUUCGGGAUUACUGGGCGUAAAGCGCACGUAGGCGGGUUAGUAAGUCAGGGGUGAAAUCCCGGGGCUCAACCUCGUAACUGCCUUUGAUACUGCUGAUCUCGAGUCCGGAAGAGGUGAGUGGAAUUCCUAGUGUAGAGGUGUAAUUCGUGGAUAUUAGGAAGAGCACCAGUGGCGAAGGCGCCUCACUGGUAAGGUACUGACACUGAGCGGCGACAGCCGGGGCAGGAAACACC